AGAGAUGAAGGGGGAAAAAAAAAAAGGUACAGUUUUUUUACAUAAGAUGCCCAAACACUGAAGACGGCAUUUCCUGUUUGGAUGGUAAAGGUAUGCUGUAACUUUUGAAUUCAAUUCAACAGAUACUUCAGGGUGUGGCAGGCUGUGCCCAAAGCAAUUGCAUCAUUUAUGAACAUGAAGCCUCACUGACCACUAACUACAGAGUUCAAGAGAGCGGAAAAAAGAAGUAACCAGAGGAAAUUCUCUCAAAGCAGAAAUCCCUCCCAAGGAAGAAUUCUGCCUUGACGCCUCAACAAAUUGAGAAUUUGCAUUUUGUCCUGAUUUAAAAAACUUCAAUUAACACGUUUCAACUUCAACACCACGUGAGAAGGCUGUGAGAUGAGUGACGAUUACUGUCAGUAGUCAGCUGUAGGGAUGGUAGGACAUGAGAUUUUAAAUUGCAGACUUGCGAGAAAACCACUGAAGAUAACUCGAUGGUGGGGAAAUUUCCAUUACCAGGAUCCUGUUAAAUGCAACAAACAUACAUAUUUUGAUUUCCACAUAGGGGAGCCUGCUUCUUUCCUCUCAUUCCAGAAACCUGUCACCAUGGCUGAAGGCUCUGCUUUCCAUUGUAUCCUCCACAAAUACAAGUAAAAUCAGAUGUGUGGAGACACUGAUUUCAAAAUAAAGACUGUCAAGGAGGUACAUAACAUUCAUUUAUUGUAUAUUUAUACAGAGGGACUUUAUGGAUUUGUGAGUAAGAUGGUUUGUUUUUUGUGCUUAAAACACCUGUCAAGUAAAAAUCUGUGAUGCCAAUAAAAAAAAAAAUGUUUGUCUCUUAUAUAUUUUAAGAGUUGUAAGCAUAUUUGGAAGAUUGAAAGGGAGGUUGUUCAGUGCAAGGAUGUCAUUUUGGAUGAUAAAGUUCAUAAUUAAAACUAUAAAAUAUCCUGCCUGCAGUACACAAGUGUUCGAUAAACACACUGUAAGCUUUUGCAAAAGCUGCGUGUGUAUUCGCUGAAACAUUGAUAUUGGAUCUUUUUUCCCUCCAUAGUAACCAGAAUUGGCAUGGGUCCCACAUGUCAGGUAUCUGUGGGACUUUAGGUUCAGCAGCUCUAAUCUGAAUUUGCAAGAGUUUAUGAUUUGUGUAGGGGACAGAAUCCACAUCCACCUAUAAACCCACCACCAGGGAUUUAACACUAAAUCUGUGGACUUAAGAAAUACCAGAUCGGCCUAAUCACUCAGCCAUGAGUACAAAUAAUCUUCUAGAUAACAUGUAAAAGAAAAGAAGAAGACCGUUAUGUAGCUACAGUUUUAUGUUUAUUUCAGCUUCACAGUAUGGACUGGAAUAAAAUCGCUUGGACUAAACUAACCUGAGCAUUCAAUCAAACACAAUGAGGAGGUAAUAAUCAAAUCUGGGGUUACUCCUCUGCUCUUCAUAGUUUGCCGUUAUUCGCUUGUAAUGUACGAUUAUUAUAAAAUCUCCUGCUCGGGUUACACUACCGAACAAUUUCUAAUAUCAUUUGAUCUAUUGGACAUCACGUUACGGCGCUACGGGACUUUAGCUCGAAUGAGGUAAAGUCAUUCAAACAUAAGAAACUGAACAGAAGUCGUAACGUCUAAGUAGGCAAAGACACCGAUGAAACCAAGACAAACUUGACCAAAGCUUUUACAAGCCCAGCAGAAAUUAAGCACUAGCCGGACAUGUUUGUGUGAGGGAAUACGACGACUUUACUUCGUUUGAUUGACGCGUUUUCCUGACGAAUAACAUCAUGGAUUUAAUGACAACAUGAGCAUCUGUUGACGCAACUUCGUGACUCACACAGCUAACUGCUAACUAAGGGACACAUAAAAUCCAGGAUGGCUGUGAGGCUGGAAAGGACAGGGAUCUUGUUGUCUCACCAAGAGCAGCCAGAAAUUCGUGGCAUCCCGGCAGUCUCCAUAGCUGCACGCUGAUGGACACCUGAAUGGGCAGGAGGGAGAAAUCCUGUUCUUUCUCCCCUGUCUGAAGUUGGACUAGCACCUGGUGGAGCUGGAGAAGAAGAGAGAGAAGACAUAUUGGGAACAGUGGUUAGGAAUAAGUACCAGAAUACAAUAAACUAAUACAUUCUA